AGUGAACGCUGGCGGUAGGCCUAACACAUGCAAGUCGAACGGCAGCACAGUAAGAGCUUGCUCUUACGGGUGGCGAGUGGCGGACGGGUGAGGAAUACAUCGGAAUCUACUUUUUCGUGGGGGAUAACGUAGGGAAACUUACGCUAAUACCGCAUACGACCUACGGGUGAAAGCAGGGGAUCUUCGGACCUUGCGCGAUUGAAUGAGCCGAUGUCGGAUUAGCUAGUUGGCGGGGUAAAGGCCCACCAAGGCGACGAUCCGUAGCUGGUCUGAGAGGAUGAUCAGCCACACUGGAACUGAGACACGGUCCAGACUCCUACGGGAGGCAGCAGUGGGGAAUAUUGGACAAUGGGCGCAAGCCUGAUCCAGCCAUACCGCGUGGGGGAAGAAGGCCUUCGGGUUGUAAAGACCUUUUGUUGGGAAAGAAAAGCAGCAGGUUAAUACCCCGCUGUUCUGACGGUACCCAAAGAAUAAGCACCGGCUAACUUCGUGC
rnacentral:rRNA from 1 species